rnacentral:tRNA from 2 species
GGUGUGGCUCAGCUUGGCUAGAGCGCUUGAUUUGGGAUCAAGAGGUCGCAGGUUCAAAUCCUGUCACC